CACAUUUGAUAUUGCUGGUUUCACACUACCAGUCGAUGCCUUCGGGACCAGUUCUAAACCGAACAUAAAGUGCCCUGCUGAUCUUAAAAAAGACGGAUAUAAAUGCAAGCCCUGUCCUAAAGGAACCUACCUGAACUCGACAACGGGUAACUGUGAAUUGUGCAGAAUCGGCGAAUACAAUGAAGAUGAUGGUAGAACCGCAUGUAAUUUAUGCCCGGCAGACUACAGCACGCUUAAAGAGGGUUCUAAAUACAUGGACAAUUGCACAAGAUUAUGUGAUCCCGGUUUCAUCUCAAGUACAACAAUGGUCCCUUGUUCCGCGUGUCCAUUGGGUAGCUUUCAGCCAAGCAGAGGUGCCUCAGUUUGUAUACCCUGCCCGGCAAUGCAUACAACGCCUUCAACCAACAG